CAGUGCUCACUGGAGAUUUUUCUCCUUCUGGGUUCAUAAGGAUUAUACAUCCCUAGUCCUGUUAAGUUAGGACUGGUUAUGGGAUUAUUUUAGCCAGUGAGUUGAACGUGGAGAUGGCAUAUGUUAUUUCUGGGCCAGAGUAUUUAAUCUCAAGCGUGAGACACUACAGCAUUCUCUUCCUAUGACCUUGAGGUAUUUCAGUUCUUUGAGCUUCAGUUUCUUCUUCUGUAAAGUAGGUAUUGGAUGAAUAACAUUUAGAUUCUAGAAUAUGAGCCAGUUGAGAAUUAAUAUUAGGCUUUAUAU
rnacentral:lncRNA from 1 species